rnacentral:lncRNA from 1 species
UAAUUACCACAAUGGCCUUGGUUCUUUAUAUGAGUGACAGCUCCUUUCUCCCUCCAGUCGAUGCUAGUCGGAACAUCAGUCACGUUUUGGUACUUGAAGGUGGAUGGCCGUGAUGACUGGCGGCUUACGCUUGGUACUGGCCUGUUGUAUCCUGUAUAUAAAGCACGAAACUCCUCGUUAGUUAAGUCUGAAAAUUCAUUGGUGCCCAACUUGUACGUCCGAUUCCCCUCCUUGUUGGCUUUCUCAAUGUAUUCAAGGUUUUGCUUGAAUAUAUUAAGACGCAUUGCCUUCUCUAGCUCGUCCUUGUAAGUGCGUCCAUGCUGAGCCAUCCAUUGUUCGUGUUUCUCAACGAUGGACGGUUCAUGCAUCGACCGGCCGGACACCACUUGUGAUGCACAAGUGAUCACCAAAAUGAUGAUCACAAACAUGGGAAUGAUAAAGCUUUUCUCAAAUUUUAAAACCAUGGUUGUUGUUUUUUUUUCCCCUCCCUUUUUGGGUAUAUUACUAAUUUGUUAGUAAUUUGUGAAUACUCGAGGCACACAUUGUUGCUCUAUAUAUAGUACUGGCUAGCAUAAAUAUGGAUCACGUUUAGUGUCCCUAAUGCAUCCAAGACGUAUGCAUUGCGUUGGUCGAUCGUUCGUGCCCCAUACUUCACGACUUUCAAUCAAAUUAGCUAAUUACCAUCAGUUAAUCACCGUGAUUAUUGCUACUUUGCUAGCUAGGAGAUUGCCGCUUGGCGACGCCGUGGCCUUAUGGCGCUAUCUAUGACAGCUCGUUCAUCAGACAUGUUACAAAAGAGUUAUGAGCUUAAAUCACGCCGCGUGGUGGAAACUUGUGUAUUACUUGAUUUCGAUAGUUUUAUUUGUUCACAAAUAAAUAAAUAAGAACGAAAAAUAGGAUCAUUAAUCUACUCAUUUGGACGGAGGGCCCAAGUCUUGCAGAAGCCACAAUACUAAUAAGGUCAGCAUGAAGGAAUGCUUAAUUCCAAGAUACAUCAAGAAUAUUAUAGCAUAAUAUACAAUUCGAAUUAAUGAAGGCAUAAUUGCAAGAAAAUAUAAUAAAAAUCAUAAAUAUGUUAUGGCUUAUAAAAAUGGAAAACCAAUCUCCAUAUUAUUACAUUUGUGAGUAUGUGUGUUUUUCCUUUAUUUGUUUUUCAAAUUGAGCAUUAUAACCCACAACUUAGAGGGGUACAAAUUGAGUUUUUUUAUUUCCACUUCCCCGCGCACCGUGAUUAAAGAAGAAUGGGAAAGGAUAAGAGGAUCAUGGGAUUGACGUGAGAGAUUUAGGGAUGGUUAUAUUUCCAUGAGUGAACUCGAGGCGAAUAUGAAGUAAAUGGAUACAAGUUAAACCAUGAAACUAAAGACAAUUCCGAAUUAGCUUUGUCUACAAACAAGGAAAGCUGUAACUAAUUUAACAAUACGAAUCUGAUGGAGAGCUUGCUCUUUGCUCGGAACGAAUGCCAGUGGCAUUCUAAUAACUAAGUUACCCUAAAAACUCAAAAGGAUUACAAAAUAAAAGAUAUGUUUAACCGUUGGAGUGGGGGCAACAGUAGAACUAAAUACAUAAAGAAAAAAAAGUCAUUAAUCACUUAAAAUUCCCUUGCUUCGUCACCAUAUUCUUUGGGCGUGUUCCUAUUCAACAUUUUCGUGAUAUAUAUCAUCUUUAUCUAAUAAGGGAUCUUUUAAGUUGUUGAAAUAAGGAACAAAAUAAAAUACAAGAAACACACAUAUUGCAGUGCAGUGUAUUUUGUCAUGUACUAUAUUAAAGUUUGUAUUUUUAUUGUCUUUUAACUUAUUUCUAACUUUAAUAACAUAAGCAAUCCUUCAAUCUAUGUGUGUGUAUUUCAAUGAUUUUUUUGGUUAACUGCUUUUUUCCAAUUGUGCUUCUCCAAAUCAUGAAAAGGAUGUUGAGCUCAUACACUCAAGAGUGUGCAUCAGCGAAUAUCAUUAAAUUAGUUUAUUUUUCUUUUUUAUAAUUUCUUUUUUUAUUAACGUAACAACACAAAUAAAAUAUUGAUAAAUAACUAUCCGAUAAGUUAAUAAUCUUGAUUAAAUAAUUAAGUCCUCAAGUUCCAAAUUGAGCCAGUGUAGCAACUAAAUAGCUUUGUUAAAUGCGUAAGACAAUACUGACUUUUUGAAUCCUUUAGGACCCUAUGAAAAUAUAAACUAAUAAUUAAUCUCAUACAAAAAUUAAUAAUGAAUAAAUUAAUAAUGCCAAAGGAGAAAGCUCAACCAGAGGACGAGGCAGAGGCAAUCCAAGAUCGAAGUAUGACAAAUCCCAAGUACAGUGCUAUAAUUGUCAAAAGUUUGGGCAUUAUGCUUCAGAAUGCAGAGCUCCAAGCACCAGAAUUGAGGAGAGAGUGAACUAUGCUGAAGAGAAAAAUGGUGAAGAUGGCACACUUUUACUAGCACACAAUGACACAAAUGGAGGUCAAGAAAAUACAUGGUAUCUUGACACAGGUGCUAGCAAUCAUAUGAGUAGAAACAAAAGUAUGUUCGUGCAACUAAGUGAAUAUGUGAAUGGCGGUAUUGCUUUUGAAGAUGAUUCAAAAGUACCAGUGGAGGGUAGAGGUAACAUUCUUUUUCGUGCAAAAGAUGGUAGUCACAAAAUAAUUUCGAAUAUUUACUAUGUGCCCAAUAUGAAAAGCAACAUUCUUAGUUUGGGUCAACUUUUAAAAAAAGGUUAUGAUAUUCACUUAAAAUAUUAUAGUCUUUUCCUAAGAGAUGACAAAGGAAAUCUAAUUACAAGUGUGAGAAUGUCAAAGAAUAGAAUGUUUCCUUUAAAUAUUCAAAAUGAUGUUGCAAAAUGUCUCAAAGGCUGUCAUAAAAAUCUAUCCUGGACUUGGCUUCUUCGAUAUGGGCAUCUCAACUUUGGAGGACUAGAGCUACUAUCUAAGAAGAACAUGGUGAAAGGUUUACCAUACAUCAAUCACUCUGAUCAAAUUUGUGAAGGAUGUUUACAUGGCAAGUAGUUCAGAAAGAGUUUUCCAAAGGAGUCAAACUCAAGAGCUCAGAAGCCACUCGAGCUCAUUCAUACUGAUGUAUGCGGUCCAUUCAAGCCAAACUCCUUUGGUAAAAGUAACUACUUCCUUCUCUUCAUAGAUGAUUUUUUAAGAAAAACUUGGGUGUACUUUUUGAAGCAAAAAUUAGAAGUCUUUGAAGCUUUCAAGAAGUUUAAAGCUGUAGUGGAAAAAGAAAGUGGAUACCAGAUUAAAGCAAUGAGAUCUGAUCGAGGUGGAAAGUUCACUUCCAAAGAAUUUUUAAAGUUUUGUGAAGCAAAUAGAAUUCGACGCCCUUUGACAGUUCCAAGAUCCCCCCAACAAAAUGGUGUUGCAGAAAAAAAGAACAGAACCAUCCUCGACGUGGCAAGAAACAUGCUUAAGAGUAAAAGGCUACCUAAAGAAUUUUGGGCUGAAGCUAUUACAUGUGCAGUCUACUUAUCCAAUCGAUCUCCAACAAGAAGCGUGUGGAGCAAGACGCCAUAAGAAGCUUGGAGUGGAAGAAAACUCGGCAUCACCCAUCUAAGAGUUUUCGGAAGCAUUGCCCAUGUAUAUGUACUAGACGAAAGUAGAGCAAAGCUGGAUGAAAAAAGUGAGAAGUUCAUCUUCAUUGGCUACGACAACAACUCCAAAAGAUAUAAGCUUUACAAUUCAAACAACGGAAAGAUCGUGAUAAGUCGAGAUGUAGUUUUUGAUGAAGAAGGAGAAUGCGAUUUUGGCUCUGGUGUGGAUGACUUCAACUUCUUUCCCAUUGAAGAAGGUGAUCAUACACAGAUAAAAUAAGUAGACGAACAACAAGAGCCUGCUACUCCACCUAUCUCACCAGCAUCAACCACAUGCGGAGAUUCACCGCCAUCUUUCUUAAAUGAAAUAACCGAAGAACGUACAAUGAGUCUUCAAGAUCUUUAUAAGGUAAUUGAAAGACGUGAUAAUCUCACUCUCUUUUGCCUCUUUGCUGAUUGUGAGACAGUCAACUUCCAAGAAGCUGCACUAGAUGAGAAGUGGAGAAUUGCAAUGGAUGAAGAAAUCAAAGCCAUUGUGAAGAACGAUACUUGGGAGCUUACUACUCUUCCCAAAGGUCACAAGGCGAUCGAUGUCAAAUGGGUGUAUAAAACAAAAAGAAAUGCGAAGGGAGAAAUUGAAAGGCAGAAGGCAAGGAUAGUUGCAAAAGGCUAUAGUCAAAAGGCUGGCACAGACUAUGACGAGGUAUUUGCUCUUGUAGCUCGACUUGAAACUAUUAGACUUAUUAUUUCUUUAGCUGCUCAGAACAAAUGGAAGAUUUUUCAAAUGGAUGUGAAGUGUGCUUUCUUGAAUGGAUUCCUUGAAGAAGAAGUUUAUAUCGAACAAUCAUUAGGCUAUGUGGUGAAAAGACAUGAAGACAAAAUUUUGAGAUUGAAGAAAGCUCUUUAUGGGUUAAAGCAAGCACCAAUGGCAUGGAAUAGUAGAAUUGACAAGUAUUUUCAAGAGAACGGCUUCACCAAAUGCCCAUAUGAACAUGCUCUUUACGUCAAAGAAAAAGCUGGAGACAUUUUGAUUGUGUGCUUGUAUGUGGAUGAUCUCAUCUUCACUGGAAGUGAUCCAAGCUUAUUUAAAGAGUUCAAGAGAGUGAUGAUCAAAGAGUUCGAGAUGACUGACAUUGGACUGAUGGCAUAUUAUCUUGGCAUUGAAGUCAAGCAAAAGGAAGAAGACAUAUUUAUCUCCCAAGAAAGUUAUGCAAAGGAGAUUCUCAAGAAGUUCAAGAUGAAUGAUUGUAAGCCUAUAAGCACGCCAGUGGAAUGCGGAGUUAAAUUAUCCAAACAUAAUGAAGGCGAAGAUAUAGAUCCAACAUUCUUUAAAAGUUUGGUCGGAAGCCUACGUUAUUUGACAUGCACAAGAUCAUAUAUCCUUUAUGUUGUUGGACUUGUUAGCCGAUACAUGGAGAAUCUAAAGACCACCCAUUUUAAAGCUGCAAAAAGAAUCAUUCGCUACAUCAAAGGUACAACUAAUUUCGGCUUGUUAUACUCAUUUUCUAAUGACUACAAGCCUGUUGGAUAUAGCGAUAGCGAUUGGGGUGGAGAUGUAGAUGAUCGAAAGAGCACCAUAUGAUUUGUGGUCUUCAUGGGAGAUAUUGCUUUCACAUGGAUGUCAAAGAAGCAACCAAUUGUCACGCUAUCCACUUGUGAAGCUGAGUAUGUAGCUGCCAUAUCAAGUGUUUGUCAUGCAAUUUCGCUCAGAAAUUUGCUGAAGGAGUUAGGUUUGCCACAAGAAGAGCCAACCGAGAUUUGUGUUGAUAACAAAUCAGCAAUUGCCCUAUCCAAGAAUCCAGUCUUUCAUGAUCGAAGCAAACACAUAGACACUCGCUAUCAUUUCAUAAGAGAGUGUAUUGCAAGAAAAGAAGUACAAAUCAAGUAUAUAGAAUCACAAGAUCAAGCAGUUGAUAUCUUCACUGAGCCACUCAAGCAAGAAGACUUCAUAAAAUUCAUAAAUUUGCUUGGUGUCACAGGAUCAAGUUUAAGGGGGGUGUUGGAUCAUAAACUUGAUCUAAGAUGAAUAAAUUCAAGCCCAACUCAUGGAAGAUUCCAUGAGUAGGUAUGGUUGGUGAGGUUUGAAUUAUUUGUGUUAGGUGUGGUAGGUGUAGUUGGUGAAGUAGGUGAGUGGUAGGUUUUAAUGAAUUGUGAGGAUUUAUGUAGUAGUUGAAUAAAUGAAUGGUUGUGAUUAGUUUGUAUCAUGUAUAAAUACCCCCUCUCCCCUUUGGUUUAAGCAUCAAGUAAAGUAACAAAAUCUCUAAGGUGUAGAGAGUGAAAAAUAAGAGUUGUAAUUGGUGAGGAGUGUUGUUGAAGAAAUAAAAUUGUGUGUUUUGUGUGUUUUAUUUGUAAAUUCUCCAACAAGGAACGAAUGUCGGUGGCAUUCUAAUAACUAAGUUAUACUAAGAACUCAAAAGGAUUAUAAAAUAAAAUAUAUGUUUAACCAUUGGAGUGGGGGCAACAGUAGAAUUAUACACAGAUACAAAAGAAAAGUCAUUAAUAACUUAAAAUUCCCUUGCUUCAUCACCAUAUUCUUUGGGUGUGCUCCUAUUCAACAUUUUUGUGAUAUAUACAUAUAUGUAUGUAUGUAUGUAUGUAUGUAUGUAUGUAUGUAUGUAUGUAUGUAUGUAUGUAUGUAUGUAUGUAUGUAUGUAUGUAUGUAUGUAUGUAUGUAUGUAUGUAUGUAUGUAUGUAUGUAUGUAUGUAUGUAUGUAUGUAUGUAUGUAUGUAUGUAUGUAUGUAUGUAUGUAUGUAUGUAUGUAUGUAUGUAUGUAUGUAUGUAUGUAUGUAUGUAUGUAUGUAUGUAUGUAUGUAUGUAUGUAUGUAUGUAUGUAUGUAUGUAUGUAUGUAUGUAUGUAUGUAUGUAUGUAUGUAUGUAUGUAUGUAUGUAUGUAUGUAUGUAUGUAUGUAUGUAUGUAUGUAUGUAUGUAUGUAUGUAUGUAUGUAUGUAUGUAUGUAUGUAUGUAUGUAUGUAUGUAUGUAUGUAUGUAUGUAUGUAUGUAUGUAUGUAUGUAUGUAUGUAUGUAUGUAUGUAUGUAUGUAUGUAUGUAUGUAUGUAUGUAUGUAUGUAUGUAUGUAUGUAUGUAUGUAUGUAUGUAUGUAUGUAUGUAUGUAUGUAUGUAUGUAUGUAUGUAUGUAUGUAUGUAUGUAUGUAUGUAUGUAUGUAUGUAUGUAUGUAUGUAUGUAUGUAUGUAUGUAUGUAUGUAUGUAUGUAUGUAUGUAUGUAUGUAUGUAUGUAUGUAUGUAUGUAUGUAUGUAUGUAUGUAUGUAUGUAUGUAUGUAUGUAUGUAUGUAUGUAUGUAUGUAUGUAUGUAUGUAUGUAUGUAUGUAUGUAUGUAUGUAUGUAUGUAUGUAUGUAUGUAUGUAUGUAUGUAUGUAUGUAUGUAUGUAUGUAUGUAUGUAUGUAUGUAUGUAUGUAUGUAUGUAUGUAUGUAUGUAUGUAUGUAUGUAUGUAUGUAUGUAUGUAUGUAUGUAUGUAUGUAUGUAUGUAUGUAUGUAUGUAUGUAUGUAUGUAUGUAUGUAUGUAUGUAUGUAUGUAUGUAUGUAUGUAUGUAUGUAUGUAUGUAUGUAUGUAUGUAUGUAUGUAUGUAUGUAUGUAUGUAUGUAUGUAUGUAUGUAUGUAUGUAUGUAUGUAUGUAUGUAUGUAUGUAUGUAUGUAUGUAUGUAUGUAUGUAUGUAUGUAUGUAUGUAUGUAUGUAUGUAUGUAUGUAUGUAUGUAUGUAUGUAUGUAUGUAUGUAUGUAUGUAUGUAUGUAUGUAUGUAUGUAUGUAUGUAUGUAUGUAUGUAUGUAUGUAUGUAUGUAUGUAUGUAUGUAUGUAUGUAUGUAUGUAUGUAUGUAUGUAUGUAUGUAUGUAUGUAUAUAUAUAUGUAUGUAUGUAUGUAUGUAUGUAUAAUCUUUAUCUAAUAAGAGAUUUUUUCAGUUGUUGAAAUAAGAAACAAAAUAAAAUACAAGCAAAACACAUAUUGCAGUGCAGUGUAUUUUGUCAUGUACUAUAUUAAAGUUUGCAUUUUUAUUGUCUUUUAACUUAUUUAUAACUUUAAUAAUGUAAGAAAUCCUUCAAUCUAUGUGUGUGUAUUUUAAUGAUUUUUUUUGUUAACUGCUUUUUUCCAAUUUUGCUUCUCCAAAUCAUGAAAAUGAUAUUGAGCUCAUACACUCAAGAGUGCGCAUCAGCGAAUAUCAUUAAAUUAGUUUAUUUUUCUUUUUUAUAAUUUCUUUUUUUAUUAACGUAACAACACAAAUAAAAUAUUGAUAAAUAACUAUCCGAUAAGUUAAUAAUGUUGAUUAAAUAAUUAAGUCUUCAAGUUCCAAAUUGAGCCAGUGUAACAAAUAAAUAGCUUUGUUAAAUGCGUAAGACAAUAUUGACUUUUUGAAUGCUUUAGGACCCUAUGAAAAUAUAAACUAAUAACUAUGAAAAUAUAAACUAAUAAUUAAUCUCAUACAAAAAUUAAUAAUGAAUAAAUUAUAUAACUCAUAAAAUUAAGGAACUUUUUUUUUUUACAAUUACUAUUAUUUGAAUUCAACUCUUUGAAAAAUAUGCAUCUAAAGUUUUUUUUUCUUUUUUGGCUUCUCUUUGUUCCUAACUGAGCGCAGCUCGUCAUUAAUUAUUUUGUAGAGCAUGCACUACAUUUAGUAUAUCUUUUUCUAUCAAUAAAGAUUUUUUUUUCUUUUUACUUCUUUGAAAUGAGAACCCAUGAAGCAGAAAAAUAUGAAAAUUAUUAUGAUAUGAGACUAGAAAUUAUAAAAUAAUCAAGUGAAACUUGAGAAUACUUUUGUAUUCAUAUUUUUCAAAAGUAAAUACUUACACAAUAGUUGUAUAUGUAUGAUUACUAGGGGUGGGUGUUCGGUUUGGGUUAACCGGUGAAACCCGAACGGAUUCAAAGCUUCAACCCGUUCGGGUUGAAGCUUUUUUUUUUUUUUUUAAGAUUCAGCUUUUAAAUUAAAAAUAUAUUUGGAAUUGAGAGUUUUAAAUUGUUGAAAUAUUAUUAAGGAUGAUUUGUAGUUGAUAUUUGCUAUUAAGGAUGUUUGGAAUUGAGAUUUUUGGAUUUUAAGUGAUUGUUAUAAUUUUUGAAUUAAAUUGUUCCUUAAGGAUUAAAAAUAUAUUUGGAAUUGAGAGUUUUAAAUUGUUGAAAUAUUAUUAAGGAUGAUUUGUAGUUGAUAUUUGUUAUUAAGGAUGUUUGGAAUUGAGAUUUUUGGAUUUUAAGUGAUUGUUAUAAUUUUUGAAUUAAAUUGUUCCUUAAGGAUGUUUGGAAUGUUUGGAAUUGAGAUUUUUAAAUUGUUGAAAUGUUAUUAAAGAUGAUUUGUAAUUGAUAUUUGUUGUUAAUGAUGUUUGGAAUUGAAAUUUUUAGAUUUUAAGUGGUUGUUGUUAGAAUUUUUAGAUUAAAUUGUUCCAACCCAUUCUAAAUCGAACUAACCCGAAUUAUUCUAACCCGAACUAACCCGAAUUAACCCGAACCGAAAUUUUAACCCGAAUUAUCAACUCAAUCCGAUCCGAAUUGCCAACCCAAACCGAACCGAACCGAAUUAAAUUCGGUUCGGUUCGGUUCGGGUUGGCGUUUUCAACCCGAUUGGGUUCAAUUCUCCAACCCGAACGGGUUGAAACCCAAACCGAAACCCGAACAACCCGAACCGAAACCCGAUUUGCCCACCCCUAAUGAUUACACAAACUAAGGAAAAGCAAAAAAGAAAUAUUGUAUAAUUACAAGUUGCUUAACAAAGCUACACUAUUAUAAGUAGUAGCCAUUUGAGAAGAUAUCAUUGACUUAAGCAACCACGAUUUAUGUUCUUUUACAGAUAAAUAUGUACAUAUAUCAAUAAAAUUCUUAAAACAAAAAAUCUCUCUCUAAAUUAAUAAAUAUUCAUUUAUUGGUAAAUUAAUAACUUCACUAAAUUGGUAUUUUUCCUUAAUCCCAACAAUAUUAUUUUAUAGAAAAUUUAUUGUAGAUGAUAUAAUGUAUUUAAAAUUUAUCCAAGACUCGGUCAAACAGUAAAAUCUAUGUAAAAUAAGAUUAAAAAAAUAUAUUAUUCUUUUCUGUCAAGUAUUCUAUGAUUUUCAUAAGAACUAAGAACAUUAAGUUUUGUGAUAGUUAAAAGACAACUCAUCAUAUCCCAUCACCUUGGAAGGUCUAAUUGAACAAUUGUUAAUGACUAGAACAAUAAUGUAGCAGUUCAAUCCAUAUGUCUCUAUAUGUCACUAUUGAGACCAAAUAUCAAUACUUCCUCUAAAAUUACAUAAAUAAAAAGGAAUUACAAAAGUGCCUCAAAAUUAAUUCUAGAAAGUAGUUGAUCUCUUGAUAUUCGCGGCAUAAUUUUUGAAGCAGUUGUUUGUAAAGUCGGUCCUAAAAUCACAAGCUCCACAAGUUGUUCGGGCAUGUGUGUGUGCCUAUAUACGUAUACAUAUACACAUACAUACAUACAUAUAUAUAUAUAUAUAAUUAGAAGGAAGAAAUUGGUAAUUUAUAUGAUUGUAUUUUUGAAAAACUAAGAAUAAAGGGAUCUAUAUAAAACUUGCCAGGGAUUAGUCCCCAAUACAAUUAAAUUAGACCAUGCUUAGUAUUGAGAUUAAGCAGUUUUAAUUUAAAUGCCACAGCACUAAAAUGUUUGGUAAAUAUUAGCUAAUAUAACUGGUUGAGGUUAUUUAAUCCAUUACUUAUAAUACUAGUCGUAUCUGAUAAAAAAAAUAUAACAUCUUUAUUAUUUUUAUCAAAGUUAUCAUUUAAAAAUCUUAUUUAUUACAUACUAUUAAGCUUUAUUUCAAAGUCAUAAUUUUUUGCUACAAUAGCUAUACUACCUCAAUACUAAACAUGACCUUAGUCAUCUCUAUAGCUAUUAUAUUUUAAUAAAUUUUAAAUAGAGCUAUCUAUGUAAAAUUUUGCAGGAUCAACCUUGACUGUAAUUGUAGACCUUUGAUAUUCGGACUUCCAACCUUGGCUGUUAGCUAUAAUCAACAAUUGUCAGAUAUCAAUUGCCGCCAACAAUAAACAAGAUCGAAUUAGCUCUCCUUAUAAAUUUUUCUUCAAUAAACCAUGAGGCAAUCACUCUCAUUAUAGAUUUGCUUCAUAAAUCAUAAGCUAACUGUGUCUUGCAAAAUCUUCAAAAAAAUUGCAACUACCAAGUUAGAAUGCUGCUUAUCGUAUUUACUCUUAAAUUUCAUCUCAUUUUUUUAGUCAUAGAUUUACUCUCCUUGUAGGAUCAAUUUUUCCUCCUCUAUCUAAAAAUUGACGUUGCAAUGGCAAGUACUUGAAAAUUACAAAAACUAUCAAUUUUUUCCCCCUAAACUAGCCGGAUCAACAUUCUGCAAAGAGAGAUUUAUGAUACCAAUUCUUAAUAACUCCAAUAAACGUACCCAAAAAAAACCCUAAGGAGAAAAAAAUGGAAGAAAGUAUAAAUAAAAUUUUUGGAUUAAUUUGUGAAAAAAGACCAAAAUGAAAUUUAAUUUAGUUCUUCUCUUGCAUAUCCUCUUGAGGAGUCCACUGCCCUUUGAUUAUAUUGUUCUUCUUUGGAAGUUUCCUUUCUCUUUUCAUAGGUAUCCUUUUGUUCCUCUUUUGAUCUUGAUUAUAUGCAUUUUCUCCAAUUACACAUGAGACUUCAUCGGACAAUUUUGCACUCGAUGAUCCAUAAUCUUGAAAAUUCAUUAGCAUCGGCUGAAAAUUUGGAGUUUCCGGCUUGGGGUGAGCUGAAAAAUUCUGUGAAUAAUCCCAAAAUCCUCUUCUUUCUGGACCAUGCAAAACCUCGUUUGUACUAUUCAGUACCAACGGAGUGGCAGUAUAUGCACCCUCAGUACCAAAAAACCCAUUUGAAUAGCCCUCAAGAGAAUCGAAACUCAUUGUUGAGAUCCCGAGAGGGGGACUUUUUGAGAUCCUUCGAUGGUAAAUCGAUUAAGAUGGUGAGGAUUUGAAAAAGUGGACUCACUAAUAAGACCAUAAUCAUGGUUAUUAUGAUAGUUGUGAAACAAUAUACCUUUAGAAGAUGGAUUUUCUAGAGAAGAGAACCCAUUACCUAGGUCUGAUUUGAAGAGAUUAUCAGAAAAUAGGCUUGAUAUGAGAGGAUAAUCAUCUCGGAAACUUGAAUCAAGUUCCAUGCAGUAGAGAGAGUAAAGAGAAAAAAGUAAAGAAAAAUAAAAAAGAAUAAAAAUUAAGCUCUCAAGAAAGGAAGGGUCGUUAAAUGUUAAAUAGAGAGAUGGGGCUAAAUUUAUGUGGGCUCUUUAAUAGGAAAAUGAGCUAAAAAUGAGUGUAUGCUUGUCAGCAAUUUAGCCCUUCGAUGACUUGCCAAGCCACUGGUUAGUAUUUCUAGUUAAUUGUGACUGUUAAUCUCCCUACGUAAGCCACAGGGUUUGUAUUUGCCAAGGGCAAAAUUGUCAAGUUAAUUUUAGGUCGUUAAAAUGCAUUGUGUUUUAGGAAGUUGUGAACUGAAAUUAAAAUCGCAUGGAAUACAUGAAUCCCUCUUUGUUACCUUAUAAGUCGUAAUUUAAUGAUUAUUUGGAUUUUAUGUGCAAAUUAAUAUAUAAAUCAGGACCGUUUGGUGGGCACCGGAUGCUUUGAAGAAGAUCAUACAGUCCAGAUACGACUGAAGGGGCACUAUUAGUGGGACAAAGCAAAGAGAAUUAAGGCUACAACAACGUUGCCUUAAUUUUAAUGAUUUAUUAGCGUUUAUUGUGUUAUUACUUUAUCACCCUUCUUCAAUUGUUUGUAUGCUUUGUGUGCGAACAAAAUUUCAGGGUCUCAUUUUUUAUUAAUUAUUGGUAAAUGCUAUUUUCUUAACCAUAAUUGAGAGUCAAUGUAAUAAUGAAAAUUGCCCAACUUCAGCUCAGUCACAUAACAUUAGUAAUGAAAAAUCAAACAAAUUCUUCGAAAAAAAUCUAGUGAAAUUUAAUUAAUAAUAAUUUUUUAAGGAUUCUUGAGAGCUUGAGCUCUUUCAUCAUGCCAAUUUAAGCUAAAAUUUUAUAUUUUCUGCUUAUAAAAAAAAAUUACUGUAAAAUAAAGGGUGAUUAAGUAACUUCAGGACCAAGUUUCCAACCACAUUUUUUGGGAUAAACCUAUGGUACUACAGUUGUAUGGUACCAUAGUUAGAUCCAACCAUUGAAUCUAGCCUACAGUUGUCACUAGAGCUAAAUUCAAUGGUUGGAUCCAGCUGUGGUACCAUACAACUGUGGCACCAUAGCUGGACCCCAUUUUUUGUCGUUUUUUAUAGUGCGAGGAGGUCUGAAACUUGGGAAGCUGGUUUCAAGCCAAGACUGCGGAGGAAGCAUGUGUCCAUAAUUUUGAAUCAAAGCGACUUUUUGUAACUGAAUUAUUAAUAUUUUUUUCCUUAUUUUUUUUAAAUAAAUGACACCAUUAAAUUCUAAUUAAUUUUUUGCUGAAACCUUUUGUUAAAUCUGGAAAUUUUACAGUUACGUAGGUUUUAAUGUGUUUUUACACAUUCAUGACAUUAAAGACUUACUAUAUAUUCGUUAAAAAUUCAAAAAUAACAUUAAUAUUAUUUAUUUAUCUUGACCAAGGACAAGGUUUGUAAAUUCUAAUCGACCUACAACUAAAUCCAGCUUUAUGUAUGCUUAAAGAUGUGGAAAUCAAGUAGAUUUUCUUUUGAUAGAUAUAUAUACAAAAACAAUGAAAUUUGGGGCCUUCUCUCUCCCCCUCUCUCUUUUCAUUUCCGCAAUUUAUAUAUAUUAUUUAUAUUAGGUUAUAACCCACCCAUAUUUUAUUACUUAUAUACUCAACAUAACAAAAAAAUUAAAUUUACAUAGAAGUUAUGGGUACCAAAGGCUUAGUAUGUAAUGAAAAUAUUAUAGCAUUCUUUAGAUUAAUUUUAAAUUCUUAAAAAAAAAUUAUAAUAGAAAUAAUACCGAUGGGUCCAGAAGGAGCUCAGGUACUGCAGGGGCUGGCGGUAUAAUUCGAAAUAGCAAAAGGGAGUGGGUGACAGGAUUCAGCAUUAAUAUUGGUGUAUGCUCGGUGACAAUGGCUGAGUUAUGGGGAAUUUUUCAGGGACGGUUGCUGGCUUGGGAGGUUGGCAUUCGUAACAUUCUCAUAGAAGCUGAUAGUGAGUGUGCAAUUCAAAUGAUUGCCAAGGGUUGUAAUACUGUUAAUGCUUGUUAUCCUCUGAUUCGUGAUAUAAAGAGGCUGAUGGAUCAUAAUUGGCGAGUAGCUUUGCACCAUGUUUAUAGAGAAUCAAAUAAUGCAGCAGAUUUUAUGGCUUCUCAUGCCCUCAAGCUUCCUCUGGGAGUUCACAUAUUUGUGUCCCCCCCUCCUGAGAUUUCUACUUGGCUUUUGUAUGAUGGAUUGGGGAUCUCGAUCCCUCGCCGAGUGAUUGCUUAGCCUUGUUUUGGGCUACUUAUUGUACCGAAAAAAAAAAAAGAUGUGGAAAUCAAGUAGAUUUUCUUUUAAUAGAUAUGUACAGAAACAAUGAAAUUUGAGGCCAUAUCUCUCUCUCUCUCUUCAUUUCCGCAAUUUAUAUAUAUUAUUUAUAUUCGGUUAUAACCCAUCAAGAUUUUAUUACUUAUAUACUCAACUACUAUAUAAUAAUAACAUUUAAAUUUAAAUAUAAGUUAUGGGUACUAAAGGCUUAGUAUGUGAUGAAAAUAUUAUAGCAGUCUUUAGAUUAAUUGUAAAUUCUCUAACAAAAUUGAAUUUAUAAUAUAAAUAAGACUGUAAUGGUUGUAACUACAGGUGAAAAUGGAAUGUGGAAAUUUUCUCUAUUUAGGAGUAAAGUCUUGUCCAUCUUUUGUCUUUUAUAUAUAUAUAUACACACACACACUAAAAUUUAUUGGAAAGCUAGAUAAUUUCUUGGAUGGGUAUUGCAUGCAAAUGCAAAAUAAUGGGGCCCUUUUUUUAUUUCUAACUAAAAGUUAAUUAAAUGAAAGGAAAAAUGACUAACACACCCCCAACCUUUAGACAAAGGGACAAAAACCUCAUAACGUUUCGAAAAAGACACUUACACCCCUAUUCACUAACGGAAACAAUUACUUUUAACAGAAAUAGUAAUUUUAAUAUAUAAUUACCAUUAUACCCUUCUAGCACAUAAAAAAAAUAAUUGUUAAAAUUAUAAAUAUACCCUCAUUGCUCAAUUCCUCUAUUUAAUUUUUUAUCAAAUUCUCUCUUCAAGCCAAAUAAAUUUAAUCCAUUACUCAAGAAUAUAAAUAAAUAAAAUUAGUUAUUAAUGCCAUAAGAAUAACAAUUCUCUACAUGUCAAUCAUUUAAACUUGUAUAAUCAAAAAAUUAGAAAAAAAAGGCUGGUUACAACAAUAAUUACAAAAAUCUUACCUUAAUUGUAUUAAAUAACAUAUCCAAUAGACAUAAAAAUUGAUAAUGGAUUAAAUUUAUUUGGCUUGAAGAGAGAAUUUCAUAAAAACUUAAAUAGAGGAAUUGGACAAUGAGGGUAUAUUCAUAAUUUUAAUAGCAAUAUAUGGACAAAUUAGACAAUUAACAAUUAUUGUUUUAUGUGCUAGGAGGGUAUAACGGUAAUUAUAUAUUAAAAUUACUAUUUCCAUUAAAAGUAACUGUCUCUGUCAGUGAAUAGGGGUAUAAAUGUCUUUUUCGAAACCCUAAAGGGGUUUUUGUCCCUUUAUCUACAGGUUGGAGGUGUUAGUCAUUUUCCCUAAAUUAAAAAUUGUGUUAAUAGACAAAGAUGAUGAUUCUGUGGGGGUGGUUACGAAUGGGCUCAUCAAUAGGCGGCUUCUCAUAGUCCAACAUUCUUCUCUUCUUAUGUUUAUGAUAACCAUUGGAUGGCUUAGGCCUCGGCUGUAAAAAGGAUGGGAAACCCCUCAUUUUAGUUUACUGAAUGCAAUAUAAAAAGAAAUAGCAGGACAUAAUAAUCAUAAAAUGGGGAAGACAAUUACCUUAUCUUCUAUUUCCGCCAGAAGUGCAUCAGCAGCCUUUGCCAUUUGCGCGGCACAUAUAAAAUCUGUCAACUCUGCAAUAGAGGUGUUUGGCCCUGCAAUGUUUGAAGAGGUAACAAUAAAGAUAAGAAACUAGAAACCACACAACCACACAUUAUAACAAAGAAAGGCUCGAUGAUGUUUUGCAGGAAAAUGAGUACUAUCAACACCUCUGGUACAGUAAUAUCCGAGUUGCAUAACUGCUGUACGGCCAUUAAUGAAUAAACAUUCUCUUAAGAAUCAUGCAUGGUUAUAGUUUAGAAUGGAUUGUGGAUGGUAGUUGGUUUAAUUGUAAAUUUGCUUAAAGUGGUACAAGAGAUAUAACUUCAAAUCACAAAUUUACAUCAAAAUUAAGAAAUAUUAAUAUUUUGUUUAUUUUCGUGAAGUACCUUAAAAAAUAGGUUUUUUUUUCCCUCUCUCUCUCUCUAACAUAGCCCUUGUUCAAGCCGAAAAUCUAUUUAUAUGGAUACUUCAAUGAUACGUGAUAGUAUGUAUGUAUAUAUACGUAUUUGUGUGCAUAGGUAUGCAUAUACACAGAAAAUCUAUUUUUUAUGCCAGUCAUACCACUUUGGCGUGUUGAGUUGGCAUGCCCAAUUUACAUAUUCUAUCAAAAAAAUAUAGCAGUGAGUCUUAUAGUGAGAUUACUGGUGUCACACAAUAGUAUGCAUCAUAGUGGGAUCAGCGGUGUCACAUAAUCUAAUAGGAGAAAUUCUAGAAUUUCUUAUCUAAUAGAUAUAGGAUUCACAAAAUUUACCUUUAGUGGUUAUAAAACUUUGGAAUAUGAAUCAAAUAAAAUAAUUUGUAUGUUAAUUUUAUGUGUGUGAGAUUUACAGUCAUAAAUAAUAAAAUAAAAUAAACAUUGACAAUGGCAUAAACAUAUAGUAAUAUAAAACCUCUCUUUUUUUUUUUUAAGUGAACCUCCGCAAAGAGAAGAAAUAUUUAUUAACGGUACUUGUAUAAACAUUAUCAAAACUGAUGUAAAAAAUCUACUCUAAUGUCACAAGCUUUUAUUGAUUGAGUUGCAAAAUAUACAUCAACCUAAUUCGAGUGGUAUGCGUAACUAUAAAUUUUCUCUUCGGUUCUAAUAACUAAAAUCUUUUAUGGUUACCAUGAAAUUUAACUUAAUUUGAGCCAUUUUUAUACUACAAAAUUUCUAUUUUGAUCUUGUAGCGAAACUCAUUUCCAUCAUUAUAUCAUUCACUAAAUUGAGAGUGAUGCAUAUGAGAAGAAUAAAUGCUCAGAAGAAAAUGAAGUUGUUGCUCAUCGAGGAUAUGCAUAUAUGUUAUUUCACUUCAUUUAUAUUCUCAAAACAGUACUUAAGUUUCACGGUCAAUAUCUGUUGUGAGGAGCGUGAAUGUGUUUUAAAACAUGAGCGGGUUCCAAUUAAUUUCUCCAAAUUAACAACUGGAGCCCGUAUUUUCCUCAAUUUUCUCCAAAAAAACUUUUGUUUAAAAAAAAACCUUUAAAUUUACCAAUAGGAAUUUGAUAAAUAAGUAAUAUAAUUAAUUUAUUGCUUAAAUUGUAAUAAAGUAAUUGCGGCGAAGAUCAAAAUUAUAUUUAAACAAGAGAUUUAACGUUAAUUAUAGAAGACACCAAGUAUACUGGCAUUAAUUCCAUUACAAACAUUAAGAAAUAUAGAAAAUUAACCACACAAUAGAUAAAUAUCAGCUUUCAGUGGCUAGCUAAUACAUCCGUGGGUUAAUUUGAAGUUGAUGAAGAUAUCAUCAAUACUCCAAAACUAAUUAAGAUUCCAACAAGAUUAAAUUAUUUCCAUAUGUAGGAUAGCACAACCUAAUUGAUACUGCUAUGAUGAAGAGGAGGCUAAUAAAAUAUAGUAGUCAUGCAACUGGAUAGGAAGCCGCAGUGGCAAUGCCACAGAGACCUGCAUCUCUGAGAAUCCUUAUGUAGCCGGACUCACCCCAAGUCUCCCCCCACGAAUUCUUAAUUAACCAGUAUUUGGCUCCAUUUUCUUCUUCAGCAGUUCCAAACCCAACAACAGCGACACCAUGAUCACAGUUAUUCCCACAGUCUGCAUUAAGCACGCCGCUUUUGUAAAAAUGGAAGGCUCGUCCGCUCGCUUCAACACAAACUGAUACUGGCUGCUUGCUUACGGCCUGGAGUAAGGCUUGCUCGUCACCUUGCGGUAAAUCUUCAUAUUUACUGAUUGUAGCGGCAACAGCUUUCUCCUUCUGUUUGUCACAGGUUCCUUGUUCUCGCCGGUACGGAUAGUCCGCUUCUGAGGCAAGGCCCUUGUUUUCUAUAAUAUACUCAAAGGCUUUAUCCAUAAGACCCCCACUGCAUCCAUGGUUGUCUGUUGAGCAGUCUACCAACUGCUGCCCCGAAAGUUCAAUCAGUUUUCGACUAGUAAUCUGAGUGAUCCCUUCCACCGCCGCCACAGCUGAAAAUGCCCAAGAGGAUCCUGCAAAAUAAUAUUGCAUGUUACGUUAGACGACGAAUAAUAAUAUUAUAUAAUAAUUUGUUGUACAUGAUGUGACAGCUACAAACAAUCUGCAGCAUCACUUCAUCAAUAUAUAUAUAAUUAAUUAAUUACCACAAUGGCCUUGGUUCUUUAUAUGAGUGACAGCUCCUUUCUCCCUCCAGUCGAUGCUAGUCGGAACAUCAGUCACGUUUUGAUACUUGAAGUUGGAUGGCAGUGAUGACUGGCGGCUUAGGCUUGGUACUGGCGAACAUCAGUCACGUUUUGGUACUUGAAGGUGGAUGGCCGUGAUGACUGGCGGCUUACGCUUGGUACUGGCCUGUUGUAUCCUGUAUAUAAAGCACGAAACUCCUCGUUAGUUAAGUCUGAAAAUUCA